UUUUAUUAACUAAAACUAUGUGGUUCGUAGGUUUUUUUAGAGUUUGUUGGCAAUCGCGUACAUUAUUUUUAUUUUUAAUUAUAAUUAAGUAAACUGCAGCUAAGAAAAUAAUGGUUGGUUUAUAUAAUAUGUACAUCACAUACAUAAUGAGACGCUCUUGGAGUUAUGUAGAAUUAAAUACAAACACAUGAUUUAACUUCCCACAAACUACUCCUUAUAAUGAGAUUUGCUUACGUUUCGGAAUUUAACGAACCUAUUUUAAGUUAAAAUUUGCGUUGUUAAAUAACUAAAAAGAUUAAGAGAAUAUUGUCGACACG